CCUACGGGAGGCAGCAGUGGGGGAUAUUGCACAAUGGGGGAAACCCUGAUGCAGCGACGCCGCGUGUGGGAAGACGGUCCUCUGGAUUGUAAACCACUGUCCCCAGGGACGAAGAUUACGGUACCGGGGGAGGAAGCUCCGGCUAACUACGUGCCAGCAGCCGCGGUAAUACGUAGGGAGCGAGCGUUGUCCGGAAUUACUGGGUGUAAAGGGAGCGUAGGCGGGACUGCAAGUUGGGUGUCAAAUCUACCGGCUCAACCGGUAGCCGCACUCAAAACUGCAGUUCUUGAGUGAAGUAGAGGCAGGCGGAAUUCCUAGUGUAGCGGUGAAAUGCGUAGAUAUUAGGAGGAACACCAGUGGCGAAGGCGGCCUGCUGGGCUUUUACUGACGCUGAGGCUCGAAAGUGUGGGGAGCAAACAGGAUUAGAUACCCCAGUAGUC
rnacentral:rRNA from 1 species